rnacentral:rRNA from 1 species
GACGAACGCUGGCGGCGUGCUUAACACAUGCCAGUCGAACGGUAAGGCCCCAGCUUGCUGGGGUACACGAGUGGCGAACGGGUGAGUAACACGUGGGUGACCUGCCCCGCACUUCGGGAUAAGCCUGGGAAACUGGGUCUAAUACCGGAUAGGACCGCACCGUGAGGGUGUGGUGGAAAGUUUUUCGGUGUGGGAUGGGCCCGCGGCCUAUCAGCUUGUUGGUGGGGUAAUGGCCUACCAAGGCGGCGACGGGUAGCCGGCCUGAGAGGGUGGACGGCCACAUUGGGACUGAGACACGGCCCAGACUCCUACGGGAGGCAGCAGUGGGGAAUAUUGCACAAUGGGCGGAAGCCAGAUGCAGCGACGCCGCGUGGGGGAUGACGGCCUUCGGGUUGUAAACUCCUUUCACCAUCGACGAAGGUUUUCUGACGGUAGAUGAAGAAGAAGCACCGGCUAACUACGUG